rnacentral:misc_RNA from 1 species
UUUCCGUAGGUGAACCUGGGGAAGGAUCAUUAUUGUAUAACCGAGGUGCGAGGGCUGUCGCUGACCCGAAAGGUCGUGCACGCCCGAGUGCCCUCACACACAUCCAUCUCACCCCUAUGUGCACCACCGCGUGGGUCCCCCUUUGGCUUGUUCGGAGGGGGGCUUACGUUUUCACACAAACUUUGUAUGCAGUGUAGAAUGUAUUUUUUGUUUUUGCGAUCACGCAAUCAAUACAACUCUCAACAACGGAUCUCUUGGCUCUC